ensembl:lncRNA
UAUCCUGAAAGAGCUGUCCGGCCUGUUUUCCAGUGAGAUAUUUAAAAUUUCGCAUUGUGGCCUAAGUGAGGAGGGUUUGAGAGGUCUACAGAGCAUCAUCCUCAGAAAACGACAGAAUGUGAAACAAAACAAGCUGCACGCAAGACAGUGUUACAUGCAAGUUUUGUCAGGAGCAAAGAACAUUAACCUUGAUCAUACUUCCGACGAUGACUUUUACAGUGACUCUGAAUAUUCUGAUUAAAGUCGGUAAUAAAUAUCUGUAAUAUAUCAGUUUGUCCUCAAAGUUAUAUCAACUUGCUACCUUGCAGGUUUAAUGCUGGGGGCCCCAAUUUUUUCAAGUUGGCCAUAGACCAGUCAUUGACAGUGCAUUCCCAAGACUUCAUCACAUCAAUGCAUAUAGUUUUUUACAAAGACAGCUGGCACAUUUUUAUUUAAUGUCAUUCGUAGAGCUAAAAACUAUUCUGUUACACUGUUUUUAAACAUGCAUUUUGGUAAUACAUAAUAGUACACUGUUAUGUAUCAGAGGGAGAUUUUGUACUUUUUACAUUUUUGUCAUGUUAAGUUACUGUAAUAUAUUUUUGGCUCACAGAAUUUACAAGACAUAUUGAAAUGUGAUUGAUAGAACUUUGUAAGCAAAUUUCAAGUAUGCUUGUCACAGGUGAGAGUUUUCAUUCUUGAGUAUUUUGAUGUACAUGUUAAGGAUAUUUUCAUGGUAUGUAUCAUUCAUAUCAACAGUAUCAAUAAUGUUUGAGUGCAUUACUAGUACUUGUGCUUAUUUUUAAAAUAAUCAUACUACAGUACAGUAGGCAGUUCAGCUGAUUCUGUCACAACAACCCUGAUCCACAAAUUAACUUUUGGAUAUAUAACUUUUUUUGUUUAGUUCCAGUUGUACAGCGAUGUGCUCAACCAUAUAUUUUUUUUAAAUUUAGAGUAUUAAUUGAUCCAGUGGUUACUAAGCCUACAGUGUCUUAGGGUGGACCAACAUCAUUGUCAUUUUACCCCCACCAAAUUUCAUUAAGUUGUCUGUAUCACUGUAGUUUAUUUGUUUUUAUAUUACCAAUGACCACAAUCAAAUAAAGUUGAAAAAUAACUGUCAGUUUGAUGUUUUCAUGCAGUUUCAAUGGAUCAUUUUGUUACCACAGUUAAAAUUUAGCAACAUUUAUAUUUCCAUGA